rnacentral:rRNA from 1 species
UACAGAGGGUGCGAGCGUUGUCCGGAAUCACUGGGCGUAAAGGGCGCGUAGGCGGCCUGAUCAGUCGGGGGUGAAAGCCUGUGGCUCAACCACAGAAUUGCCUUCGAUACUGUAGAGCUUGAGACCGGAAGAGGUUAGUGGAACUGCGAGUGUAGAGGUGAAAUUCGUAGAUAUUCGCAAGAACACCAGUGGCGAAGGCGGCUGACUGGUCCGGUUCUGACGCUGAGGCGCGACAGCGUGGGGAGCAAACAGG